CUGGGCUUUAGAAGGAAGAAGAGGAAGGAAGGAAGAAGAGAAGUAGAAUAGAGUAGAGAAGCCAAGCCAAGCCAAGGGAACCGAACCGACGACAUGGCGCCGCCGUCCCGGUUGCUUCCGGCGACCUUGCAGAUUCUCCGCCGCCGCUGCGCCUCCCGCUUCUCCACCGCCUCCUCCCUUGUCUCCCCGCCGUCCAAGGCUGUGCUCUACGACGAGCACGGCGCCCCCGACCAGGUGCUCCGGGUGGCGGAUGUGCCGCCCGUCCACCUCGGCGACCGCGACGUCUGUGUCCGGAUGCUGGCCGCCCCCAUCAACCCCUCCGACAUCAACCGCAUCGAGGGCGUCUACCCCAUCAGGCCGCCGCUCCCAGGCGCCGUCGGGGGUUGCGAGGGGGUGGGGCAGGUCCACGCCCUCGGCCCCGCCGUCACCGCCCCGCUCUCCCCAGGCGAUUGGGUCAUUCCAUCCCCGUCCUCAUUCGGGACAUGGCAGACGUACAUCGUCAAGAACGAGAGCGUGUGGCACAAGGUCCGCAGCGACGUGCCCAUGGAAUACGCCGCCACCGUCACCGUCAACCCCUUGACCGCGCUCAGGAUGCUCCGAGACUUUGUGCAACUCAAUCCUGGUGAUGCCAUUGUCCAGAAUGGCGCUACCAGCAUUGUCGGCCAGUGCGUGAUUCAGCUCGCCAAGGUACAUGGAAUUCACACCAUCAACAUUAUAAGGGACAGGCCUGGCUCAGAGGAAGCAAAAGGUAAACUCAAACAACUUGGCGCAGAUGAGGUGUUCACGGAAUCUCAGCUAGACAUGAAGAAUCUCAAGAGCCUGCUGGGUGCUUUUCCAGAACCUGCAUUAGGAUUUAACUGUGUCGGAGGAAAUGCUGCUUCUCUGGUACUCAAGUUUUUGAGGCAAGGAGGCACCAUGGUGACAUAUGGCGGAAUGUCCAAGCGACCUGUCACUGUUCCUACUUCAUAUUUCAUUUUUAAGAUACUUAACGCGACACAAUGCUUUGAAAGGAUAUUUCCAUGCGAGGGUUCUGGCUACAGAAGUGGAUGAACUCAGAUAAGGCAGAGGAUUGCAGAACAAUGAUAGACUACCUCUUGGGCCUAGUGCACGAAGGCAAACUCAAAUACGAGAUGGAGUCGAUUCCAUUCAGUGAAUUCAGCUUGGCUCUGGAGAAGGCCCUGGGCAAACAUGGAAGCCAGCCAAAGCAAGUUGUGAGGUUCUGAGAUGAAAGAUGGGUGUCAAGUGUUAGGCAGAGCGACUUGGAGUUGUACUCUGGACACAGCAGCUUAGCUAGAUUUAUCUGCGAUCGAGUUCAUCUUGUAAUGAAAUAGCAGUUGUACACAACCGCGACGAUCGGGCCACGCCUGAAGGUUUCGACGAAUUAUGAGUGUGGAUGUUGGUGGAUGCCAUCGUGGUGAGCAGAGUGGUGAGGUCGCGUUGAGAUCCUAAUCCAACCGGUAGGAUGUGGCAGUUCUUGAGUUGAGUGGCUACCCGUGUUGAUAUCACAAUCCAACCGGGUGAGUUUAUUUUGUUUUUCUUUUUGUGAAACAAGUUUAUUUAUCAUUAUCACUACAUAUACCAUAAUUAGCUAGACAUA